CUCAAAUGAAUUGACGGGGACCCGCACAAGCAGCGGAGCGUGUGGUUUAAUUCGUUGCUACACGAAGAACCUUACCUGGGUUUGACAUAUAGGUUGUAGGGAACUGAAAAGGGACCGACCUUCGGGAGCCUAUACAGGUGUUGCAUGGCUGUCGUCAGCUCGUGUCGUGAGAUGUUCGGUUAAGUCCGCUAACGAGCGCAACCCUCGUCGUAUGUUAUAUGUGUCAUACGAGACUGCCGGUAAAAGCCGGAGGAAGGUGAGGAUGAUGUCAAGUCAGCAUGACCUUUAUAUCCAGGGCUACACACACGCUACAAUGGUCUGUACAAUGGGUAGCCAAGCCGCGAGGCGGAGCCAAUCCUGAAAGCAGGCCUCAGUUCAGAUUGCAGUCUGCAACUCGACUGCAUGAAGCCGGAGUUGCUAGUAACCGCAGGUCAGCAAUACUGCGGUGAAUACGUUCCCGGGUCUU
rnacentral:rRNA from 1 species